ensembl:lncRNA
GGAACCACCAGGAGAAAUGUGCUCCUUGGCUCCAGGGCUGCUAAAGAUGCAAGAGGUAAGAGCAAGGCUGGUGCGGCUGCCGGAGGAGGAAGUUCCUGAGGAGGUGGCCAGUGGGAGUGGAGAGAGGGGUGCAUAGAGGUGGACCAGGCUGGGGGCUGACAUGGUUCAAGCCCUGAAUCUGGCCACACUGGACGUCUGGGCACUCAGAGGAUUCGAGUCAGCGUAUCCCCCUCUGGCCUCAGCCGGCCCGUCUGUCCAUCGACCACAGCCGAGAGGACCCAACUCUUGGGGUCGAUGAGAGACACCAGAGGAGGCCAAGUUGAUCAGCACUCAUUGCAAAACCACACGGCACCAGGCCGGGCCCUUGGGGGGAUGUCAGAUGAAGAACACUCUGUGUCUGCUCUCAGUGGCCAGAUGGCUGAACCAGCGCCCAGGGGCCCAGUCACACCUCCUUACUCUCACCUCACUGUUUGCAGCCAUUGUCGGCUGUGGAGGACUGUCCAGAGUGGGCUGAGCUGGCCAGGAAGGCUUCCUGGAAGAGGUGUUACCCGGAGCCUUGGAGGAUGAGAAGGAAGGAAGAGGGAAACACUUCUGGUCUCCUGGUACAUUUGAGAACCUGGUGAGGCCAUCUUUACUUUCCUCAUCUAGAUGAGAGGGUUAAG